GCGUCGUAAUAUCCGCCGCAGGCUGACAUCCCGUGAUUCGCGUGUCUCUCCACACUCGGUUCUUUUUUUCGCACGCACACACGCACGCGGGACAUAAAACCGAACCGGAGGCCAGCCAGGCCAGUGUCGGCGGAUUCGACAAGCAGGCGCCGCGCCGCGCCGCUCUGCUCCGCUCGCACGCGCGCGCGGGGAACGUUCUCGAAAAAUGCAUCGCGGGACCGGAGAGACGUCGGCGUCGGUGACGGGAGGAAAGAGGGAAAGGAGCCCGCAAAAACGUCGCAUUCGAGACGCGGUUAAGAGAGAAAGAUGUGUGCAGACAGAUAAGGAAAAAUGAAGGAGUUCUCGAGACACACAGUUCAACAAGGCAAACAAUGCGAAGCACUAUAUCCGUUUAAUCUGACAAACGACACUGAGCUAAUCGUCAAACAAAUGAGGAGGAACAGAGUCUUCGUCUUUAGUGUACAUUCCCUCUUUCCUCGUUUUUCCGUGACCCACUUGCGUCGUCUUCGGAAUAAGGAGAAAAGAAGCCGGAAAAUGAAGAAACGAACCGACUGAAAUGAAGAGCGCACAUUUCUCCUCUUCGAUAUUUAAAUUGUGAAGAAACGAUAAGAAAUAAGAAGAAAAAUUACUAAUCCCCUUAAUAUUUGUCUAGAUAAAUGUGCGGCGAUAUAUCGAUUCUUUAAAUAGAUAUAAACAGUAUUAAAACAGUCAAAAAGUAGGUGUAAUAAUACAUAUUUUACUUGUAUCAUUGUUCAUAAAACUUAAGUCAAUUUUUUCUAAAAAGUAUUUGGUUAAAUAAUUUCAUUUUGUUACAACGAAAGCGAAAACACAAAGUAAUACAUCGUCGAUAGACGAGAUAUAUCGAUAGCCAGUCAAAACACUUAUUGAUAGAUUUAUGAGGAAGAUGAUCGAAAUCACGAAAAAUAAUAUUGAAAACAAAGUUUCAUUAAACGUGCAUUGAUUCCAUCAGA